rnacentral:rRNA from 1 species
GACGAACGCUGGCGGCGUGCUUAACACAUGCAAGUCGAACGCUGAAGCUCAGCUUUUGUUGGGUGGAUGAGUGGCGAACGGGUGAGUUACACGUGAGUAACCUGCCCCCUUCUUUGGGAUAACGCCCGGAAACGGGUGCUAAUACUGGAUAUUCACUGGUCUUCGCAUGGGGGUUGGUGGAAAGGGUUUUUCUGGUGGGGGAUGGGCUCGCGGCCUAUCAGCUUGUUGGUGGGGUGAUGGCCUACCAAGGCUUUGACGGGCAGCCGGCCUGAGAGGGUGACCGGUCACAUUGGGACUGAGAUACGGCCCAGACUCCUACGGGAGGCAGCAGUGGGGAAUAUUGCACAAUGGGCGCAAGCCUGAUGCAGCGACGCCGCGUGAGGGAUGGAGGCCUUCGGGUUGUGAACCUCUUUCGCUCAUGGUCAAGCCGCAACAAUGGUUGUGGUGAGGGUAGUGGGUAAAGAAGCGCCGGCUAACUACGUG